GGAGCUCAUUGGUGUGAAGGACA
rnacentral:siRNA from 1 species